rnacentral:rRNA from 1 species
CACAUGACUCUUGGCAACGGAUAUCUCGGCUCUUGCAUCGAUGAAGAACGUAGCAAAAUGCGAUACCUGGUGUGAAUUGCAGAAUCCCGUGAACCAUCGAGUUUUUGAACGCAAGUUGCGCCCGAGGCCUUUUGGCCGAGGGCACGUCUGCCUGGGCGUCACAC